GCGGGGUGGAGCAGCCCGGUAGCUCGUCAGGCUCAUAACCUGAAGGUCGCAGGUUCAAAUCCUGCCCCCGCAACCA
rnacentral:tRNA from 1 species